UACGGAGGGUGCAAGCGUUAUCCGGAUUUACUGGGUUUAAAGGGUGCGUAGGUGGGUCUGUAAGUCGGUGGUGAAAUCUCCGAGCUUAACUCGGAAACUGCCAUUGAUACUAUUUGUCUUGAAUACUGUGGAGGUCAGCGGAAUAUGUCAUGUAGCGGUGAAAUGCUUAGAUAUGACAUAGAACACCAAUUGCGAAGGCAGCUGGCUACACAAAUAUUGACACUGAGGCACGAAAGCGUGGGGAUCAAACAGG
rnacentral:rRNA from 1 species